CCGCAUACGUCCUACGGGAGAAAGGGGGCAACUUGUUGCUCUCGCUAUUAGAUGAGCCUAAGUCGGAUUAGCUAGAUGGUGGGGUAAAGGCCUACCAUGGCGACGAUCUGUAGCUGGUCUGAGAGGAUGAUCAGCCACACCGGGACUGAGACACGGCCCGGACUCCUACGGGAGGCAGCAGUGGGGAAUAUUGGACAAUGGGGGGAACCCUGAUCCAGCCAUGCCGCGUGUGUGAAGAAGGCCUUUUGGUUGUAAAGCACUUUAAGCAGUGAAGAAGACUCUUCGGUUAAUACCCGGGGACGAUGACAUUAGCUGCAGAAUAAGCACCGGCUAACUCUGUGCCAGCAGCCGCGGUAAUACAGAGGGUGCAAGCGUUAAUCGGAAUUACUGGGCGUAAAGCGAGCGUAGGUGGCUUGAUAAGUCAGAUGUGAAAUCCCCGGGCUUAACCUGGGAACUGCAUCUGAAACUGUUAGGCUAGAGUAGGUGAGAGGGAAGUAGAAUUUCAGGUGUAGCGGUGAAAUGCGUAGAGAUCUGAAGGAAUACCGAUGGCGAAGGCAGCUUCCUGGCAUCAUACUGACACUGAGGCUCGAAAGCGUGGGUAGCAAACAGGAUUAGAUACCCUGGUAGUCCACGCCGUAAACGAUGUCUACUAGUCGUUGGGUCCCUUGAGGACUUAGUGACGCAGCUAACGCAAUAAGUAGACCGCCUGGGGAGUACGGCCGCAAGGUUAAAACUCAAAUGAAUUGACGGGGGCCCGCACAAGCGGUGGAGCAUGUGGUUUAAUUCGAUGCAACGCGAAGAACCUUACCUGGUCUUGACAU
rnacentral:rRNA from 1 species